ACAUUAGCAUGGGAUAAUGGAAUAGGACCCUGUCCUCCUAUUUUCAGUUGGUUUUGGCAGCGCGAGGACUAGGGUAAUGAUUAAUAGGGAUAGUUGGGGGCAUUAAUAUUUAAUUGUCAGAGGUGAAAUUCUUGGAUUUAUGAAAGAUUAACUUCUGCGAAAGCAUCUGCCAAGGAUGUUUUCAUUAAUCAAGAACGAAAGUUAGGGGAUCGAAGACGAUCAGAUACCGUCGUAGUCUUAACCAUAAACGAUGCCGACCAGCGAUUAGGAGACGUUGAAUACAAAACACCACCAUCGGUGCGGUCGUCCUUGGCGUUGGGCUUGUCAAAGGCCAGCGCGGGGGGG
rnacentral:rRNA from 1 species